rnacentral:rRNA from 1 species
AGCAGCCGCGGUAAUUCCAGCUCCAAUAGCGUAUAUUAAAGUUGUUGCAGUUAAAAAGCUCGUAGUUGAAUUUCGGAAUCAGUAUGUUGGUCGUGCUUCGGUACGUACUGUCAUUACUGGUUUCUACCUUCUGAAGAACCUUGAUGUCAUUAAUUUGGUGUCUUGGGGAAUCAGGACUGUUACUUUGAAAAAAUUAGAGUGUUUAAAGCAAGCAUACGCUUGAAUACAUUAGCAUGGAAUAAUGAAAUAGGACGUUUGAUUCUAUUUUGUUGGUUUCUAGGAUCGACGUAAUGAUUAAUAGGGAUAGUUGGGGGCAUUAGUAUUCAAUUGUCAGAGGUGAAAUUCUUGGAUUUAUUGAAGACUAACUACUGCGAAAGCAUUUGCCAAGGAUGUUUUCAUUAAUCAAGAACGAAAGUUAGGGGAUCGAAGACGAUCAGAUACCGUCGUAGUCUUAACCAUAAACUAUGCCGACUAGGGAUCGGAUGAUGUUAAUUUUUUAAUGACUCAUUCGGCGCCUUACG